AGAAUCAACGCUGGCGGCGUGCCUAACACAUGCAAGUCGAACGAGAAAAGGACUUCGGUCCUGAGUAAAGUGGCGCACGGGUGAGUAACACGUGACUAACCUACCCUUGAGUGGGGAAUAACUUCGGGAAACCGAGGCUAAUACCGCAUAACACCUACGGGUCAAAGGAGCAAUUCGCUUAAGGAGGGGGUCGCGGCAGAUUAGCUAGUUGGCGGGGUAAUGGCCCACCAAGGCAGUGAUCUGUAU
rnacentral:rRNA from 1 species